rnacentral:lncRNA from 1 species
AAAAAAAAACUCUAAAUGCCAAACUUCCUUCUUUUUAAUUCACGCCACCCCUUUCAUUUUCUCCAAAGGAGCCAAACUAGAACCAACCGCCUCCAAUUCCAAACGACCCAAACUAACCCCCUUCUAAUCAGUCCAUGCUCAACGGAUGACAUCUCCACCGCAUCUACAACCAAUAUCUCCAUAACUCCUCCACUAGCUCCGGUAUGUCGUCUCGUCUGUCCUAACUCUUAUGUGUUAUUUUUGUGAAAAUUAGCUUAGAAAUUUUUCUUAGGAAGUUGUGAUAUUUUAGAAUGAACAUUUAGUAUAAUGAUUUGAUUGUUUUUGUUUCUUAUUAAGUUAGAAUUAAAUUAUUGCGAAUAGAAUUUGAGAAUUAGAAAAAAAAAAAUUUAUUGAUCUUUUCUAGUUUUUUUUUAAUUAUUGAAGUUAUGUUAGGGAUUUAGAUCGUAAAGUUUAAUUGUACACCAUAUAAGAGUUUAAGUAUUAUGGCAGUUAUAAAUUUGUAAAUAAUUUUCUGGAUUGUACAACAUUACUUUAUUGGUCCAUGAAGUAUUUAAAGUGAAAGAUACAUGUUUGAGGCUUUUUAUUGUUUAUGUUUUACAUUGAAAGUUAUCGGUUGGGUACAAUGAGAUUACAUCAAUAUAAUUGAAAGUUUUAUUGGAGCUGCAUUUUCUCAGAUUAUAUGAGUCAAUUUGUGGCUAUAUUGAACUUUAUCAAAGCAAAUAAUCCUAAUGCAUUUUUUAAAGAUAAAAUUGAUAGAAACUUGGUUUUUGAGAUUAUCCAACUGAUUUUUUUCUUAAUCGAAUUUCCAGGUGGCUGGCAACUAAGUAGUGUUUUGGACCUAAGGACCCCGUGCUGGAUUUUGUCCUAAACGUCACACAAUUUGUUGGAUUGUAGUUGGUUGAUGAGGUGGUUUAGUUUUUCGCUUGCUAGUUUAAGUUAACGUCCAGCAUUUGUACCGAUCAUCUCUUAUAUACUGGAAUUUUUAUGCUUUUAAUGGAAAAUAUGAAGUUUGAUGUAGCCUACAAAAGAAUGAUGUUCUUGUUCAUGUUAUGUGAUGGACAAUAAUUGUAUUUAGUUUAAAAGAACAAAUGAUAUAUUCAUG